UACGGAGGGUGCAAGCGUUGUUCGGAAUUACUGGGCGUAAAGCGCGCGUAGGCGGUUUGUUAAGUCAGAUGUGAAAGCCCAUGGCUCAACCAUGGACGUGCAUUUGAAACUGGCAGACUUGAGUAUUGGAGGGGUGGUGGAAUUCCCGGUGUAGAGGUGAAAUCCGUAGAUAUUCGGAGGAACACCGGUGGCGAAGGCGGCUACCUGGACCGAUACUGACGCUGAGACGCGAAAGCGUGGGGAGCAAACAGGAUUAGAAACCCGAGUAGU
rnacentral:rRNA from 1 species